AACGAACGCUGGCGGCAUGCCUAACACAUGCAAGUCGAACGAGACCUUCGGGUCUAGUGGCGCACGGGUGCGUAACGCGUGGGAACCUGCCCUUAGAUUCGGAAUAACUCCCCGAAAGGGGUGCUAAUACCGGAUAAUGUCUUCGGACCAAAGAUUUAUCGCCUUUGGAUGGGCCCGCGUUGGAUUAGCUAGUUGGUAGGGUAAAAGCCUACCAAGGCGACGAUCCAUAGCUGGUCUGAGAGGAUGAUCAGCCACACUGGGACUGAGACACGGCCCAGACUCCUACGGGAGGCAGCAGUGGGGAAUAUUGGACAAUGGGCGAAAGCCUGAUCCAGCAAUGCCGCGUGAGUGAUGAAGGCCUUAGGGUUGUAAAGCUCUUUUACCCGGGAUGAUAAUGACAGUACCGGGAGAAUAAGCUCCGGCUAACUCCGU
rnacentral:rRNA from 1 species